rnacentral:rRNA from 1 species
UUCGAGUGGCGGACGGGUGAGUAACGCGUGGGCAACCUGGCCUGUACAGGGGGAUAACACUUAGAAAUAGGUGCUAAUACCGCAUAACGGGAGAAGCCGCAUGGCUUUUCCUGAAAACUCCGGUGGUACAGGAUGGGCCCGCGUCUGAUUAGCCAGUUGGCAGGGUAACGGCCUACCAAAGCGACGAUCAGUAGCCGGCCUGAGAGGGCGGACGGCCACACUGGGACUGAGACACGGCCCAGACUCCUACGGGAGGCAGCAG